UACGUAGGUCCCGAGCGUUGUCCGGAUUUAUUGGGCGUAAAGCGAGCGCAGGUGGUUUAAUAAGUCUGAUGUAAAAGGCAGUGGCUCAACCAUUGUGUGCAUUGGAAACUGGGAGACUUGAGUGCAGAAGAGGAAAGUGGAAUUCCAUGUGUAGCGGUGAAAUGCGUAGAGAUAUGGAGGAACACCAGUGGCGAAGGCGACUUUCUGGUCUGUAACUGACACUGAGGCGCAAAAGCGUGGGGAGCAAACAGG
rnacentral:rRNA from 1 species